UCCUUGAAGCACCAAAUUCUCUGAAUGGUU
rnacentral:piRNA from 1 species